rnacentral:rRNA from 1 species
AUUGAACGCUGGCGGCAUGCUUUACACAUGCAAGUCGAACGGUAACAGGCCGCAAGGUGCUGACGAGUGGCGAACGGGUGAGUAAUGCAUCGGAACGUGCCCAGUCGUGGGGGAUAACGCAGCGAAAGCUGCGCUAAUACCGCAUACGAUCUGUGGAUGAAAGCGGGGGACCGAAAGGCCUCGCGCGAUUGGAGCGGCCGAUGUCAGACUAGGUAGUUUGUGGGGUAAAGGCCCACCAAGCCAACGAUCUGUAGCUGGUCUGAGAGGACGACCAGCCACACUGGAGCUGUGACACGGCCCAGACUCCUACGGGAGGCAGCAGUGGGGAAUUUUGGACAAUGGGCGCAAGCCUGAUCCAGCAAUGCCGCGUGCAGGAAGAAGGCCUUCGGGUUGUAAACUGCUUUUGUACGGAACGAAACGGCUCUGGUUAAUACCUGGGGCUAAUGACGGUACCGUAAGAAUAAGCACCGGCUAACUACGUGCCAGCCGCCGCGGUAAGAC